rnacentral:rRNA from 1 species
AUGCAUGUCUAAGUAUAAGCACUUGUACUGUGAAACUGCGAAUGGCUCAUUAAAUCAGUUAUCGUUUAUUUGAUUGUACUUUUACUACAUGGAUACCUGUGGUAAUUCUAGAGCUAAUACAUGCGUAAAAAUCCCGACUUCUGGAAGGGAUGUAUUUAUUAGAUUAAAAACCAUCCUGAGUUUCGGCUCAGAUUCUUGGUGAUUCAUGAUAACUUUUCGAAUCGCAUGGCCUAGCGCCGGCGAUGUUUCAUUCAAAUUUCUGCCCUAUCAACUGUCGAUGGUAAGGUAGUGGCUUACCAUGGUCGUAACGGGUGACGGAGAAUUAGGGUUCGAUUCCGGAGAGGGAGCCUGAGAAACGGCUACCACA